UCGUCACACUAUCAUUAACUGAAUCCAUAGGUUAAUGAGGCGAACCGGGGGAACUGAAACAUCUAAGUACCCCGAGGAAAAGAAAUCAACCGAGAUUCCCCCAGUAGCGGCGAGCGAACGGGGAGGAGCCCAGAGCCUGAAUCAGCAUGUGUGUUAGUGGAAGCGUCUGGAAAGGCGCGCGAUACAGGGUGACAGCCCCGUACACAAAAGCGCAUGUGUUGUGAGCUCGAUGAGUAGGGCGGGACACGUGGUAUCCUGUCUGAAUAUGGGGGGACCAUCCUCCAAGGCUAAAUACUCCUGACUGACCGAUAGUGAACCAGUACCGUGAGGGAAAGGCGAAAAGAACCCCGGCGAGGGGAGUGAAAAAGAACCUGAAACCGUGUACGUACAAGCAGUGGGAGCACAGGUUUACCUGUGUGACUGCGUACCUUUUGUAUAAUGGGUCAGCGACUUAUAUUCUGUAGCAAG
rnacentral:rRNA from 1 species